UACGUAGGGUCCGAGCGUUGUCCGGAAUUAUUGGGCGUAAAGAGCUCGUAGGCGGUUUGUCGCGUCUGCUGUGAAAUCCCGAGGCUCAACCUCGGGUCUGCAGUGGGUACGGGCAGACUGGAGUGCGGUAGGGGAGAAUGGAAUUCCUGGUGUAGCGGUGAAAUGCGCAGAUAUCAGGAAGAACACCCGUGGCUAAGGCGGUUCUCUAGUACGGUACUGACGCUGAGACGCGAAAAGCGUGGGGAGCGAACAGG
rnacentral:rRNA from 1 species